ACUCAAAUGAAUUGACGGGGACCCGCACAAGAGGUGGAGUAUGUGGUUUAAUUCGACGCUACGCGAAAAACCUUACCUGGGCUCGAACGACUGGUGGUAGCAUUUAUGAAAGUAGAUGCGACCCGCAAGGGAGCCAGCCGAGGUGCUGCAUGGUUGUCGUCAGCUCGUGUCGUGAGAUGUUGGGUUAAGUCCCGCAACGAGCGCAACCCCUAUCCUGUGUUGCCUAGCAAUAGGAUCUCUCAGGAGACUGCCGCGGAUAACGUGGAGGAAGGUGGGGAUGACGUCAAAUCAUCAUGGCCUUUAUGUCCAGGGCUACACACGUACUACAAUGGCACAGACAGAGGGCAGCAAUACCGCAAGGUGGAGCCAAUCCUUAAACUGUGCCCCAGUUCAGAUUGUGGGCUGCAAUUCGCCCACAUGAAGCCGGAAUCUCUAGUAAUCGCAGAUCAGAACGCUGCGGUGAAUACGUUCCCGGGUCUUGUACACACCGCCCGU
rnacentral:rRNA from 1 species